rnacentral:rRNA from 1 species
UCGGGAAUUUUGGGCAAUGGGCGAAAGCCUGACCCAGCAACGCCGCGUGAAGGAUGAAGUAUUUCGGUAUGUAAACUUCGAAAGAAUAGGAAGAAUAAAUGACGGUACUAUUUAUAAGGUCCGGCUAACUACGUGCCAGCAGCCGCGGUAAUACGUAGGGACCAAGCGUUGUUCGGAUUUACUGGGCGUAAAGGGCGCGUAGGCGGCAUGACAAGUCACUUGUGAAAUCUCUGGGCUUAACCCAGAACGGCCAAGUGAUACUGUCGCGCUAGAGUGCAGAAGGGGCAAUCGGAAUUCUUGGUGUAGCGGUGAAAUGCGUAGAUAUCAAGAGGAACACCUGAGGUGAAGACGGGUUGCUGGGCUGACACUGACGCUGAGGCGCGAAAGCCAGGGGAGCAAACGGGAUUAGAUACCCAUGUAGUCCCUGAG